GUGUGUGCUAGGAAGGCAGUGUAUUGUUAGCUGGUUGAAAAUCUGACAGCAGCUAACCUACAUCUGCUAUCUUAUUGCACAUACUA
rnacentral:pre_miRNA from 2 species